rnacentral:lncRNA from 1 species
ACAAAUAAAUUACAAUAUGUACAAAAUUAAUAAAGUCAAAUAAAAGUCAACAUGUACAAGAUAGACUUCUGAUUAUCCCAGCAGAGUUGCAAGAGCUGUCACACCCCUUUUCUACUCCCAAAAGAUAGAAGAUAUGUUGUGGAUCGUGGGUUAAAGAGUUUUUCCAAUUGAAGUGACAAAUUUGAAUAUGGAUUAUUCUAUUGUUCAAAGUCGCUAUUUGGAAUUGAUUUUUUGGGUGUUCCAAGUCACCUUUGUUUGAAUCCCUAGUCAAAUGAAGGUUUGACUAUGUUACUAUUGGUCUGCGAAAAUAAAGUUCGGGUAAGAAAUUAUGUUGACCGGAAAGAAGGUGUAAGGCAUUCUUCGAGUUCCGUGAUUCUAGCACGGUUGCUUUAUUGACUUAAAAUUUGGCUUGAAUUAAUUAUGGACAAACUGUGAUUUAUAUGAUUUUCAUAUUUUUUUAUAUCCACUUUUAUUUGUUUAAAAUAUUUAAAGAAAAGAUUUGAUAAUUUUUAAAUUGUCUAAACCGUACCGCACAAGCGAAUGCACGAUCGUGACAAAACUUAUUAAUUUUGUCAUGACAGCACUACGCAAGCGAUUCUGCAGUACUCAUGACAAGAAUUAUUACUACGUUAUUAAUUUUUUUUGGAAAAAUUAAAAUAUUUGAGAAAAUAAUUUUUUUAUUUUUUUAAAAGCUACUAUGAUGAUACGCAAGCGAGUCCGUAUAAAAAAGGCCAAAACAUGCUUACUAUUUUUCUAGCAUUUUAAAUUAAUUACUAAAGUUAUUAAAUUAUUUUAGUUUUAAAAAAUCUGAUUUUUAUGAAAAUUAACAAGUUUGGAGUGAGCUUUGAAGUAAAAAAUAAAAGGAAAAAGGGGGCAAGCUGCUAACCCAAACCAAAUGCAAGACCAAUUCAAUUCAUUGGAAUGACAAUGAGAAAAUACAAUAACAAUAACAAAAAUAACAACAACAACAACAACAAUAGUGCAGUAUAAUCUUACAAGUAAAGUCUAGGAAAAGUGAUAUAUACGCAGACCAUACCCCUACCCCGAGGGGCAGAGAGGCUGUUUUCAGGAAAUUUUGGCUCAAGAAAGCAAUAAUGAUUUGUUCGUACUAUAUAGACUCAUAUUAAAAUAACAUAAAAUACAUAACAUAACAUAAAAUAAUAAAAUAACAGCAAUAUAAUAAAUAUAAAAGACAAUGAGAAAAUAAUAGUCUAAAAAGCAAAAAUGGCAUGUUAUAUAAGGUGAAAUCCGAUGUGUCGUUCGAACAUUUUCUUUUCCUUUCUUUAAGAAUCAACUGUUAUAAGCCCAUAAUUCCUUUAACCUAAAAGCAAAAUGACAUGGCGCAUGAUCCCAUAUCUAUGUGUAUAUUCAACUUAAACUAGUCUUUUAAACAUGCGAACUCUAAAAUAAAAUUACAUAUGUACACCACUGACUUGCUAAUUGAACAAAAGAAACGAUAAAUAAAUAAAUAAGACCCACUUCACCAUCACAUAUUAUAUGAUAAUAAUUAUGUAUUCUAAACUUAGUAAUGCUCUAAUACUUUAAAACAAACUCUAGAAAAAAUAAAAUUAUAACAUUUAUGAGUUAUGGUGCUCAAAUAGAUCUGGAUAGAAUAUUUUCAAAAGCUCAAAAUAUAAUGAAUGACUCAAGUUGCUUUACUUGCAUUAAUUAUUGAUCAAAAAUUUCAUUAAAUUAAAGGAAUUACCUGGAUAGCAGAAAAAAUAUUAGAGAUGGAUGAACUAAAAUCAGCAGCAGUGACAGCAACAAACAACAAAAAAAAUAACCCAGAAAAUUCAACAAGGAUGCUUGAAACUAGUAGCUAACAACUUCAUGAAUUGCUCAAGGGAUCCUUCUAAUCUUUUUUCAUGAUUUUUACGCUCUAAGAAACACUCACCAAGCUCUCAAUUUUUAGCUUACUAUUUGCUAUUUAGUUCCUGAUUUUUCUCAAAGAUAAGUCUUUUUAGAGUGUAAGAGAUGAUGGCUCAAUUUUUGUUCCUCCCUGAGUAAAAUACAUGUCCUCUUUAUGUAUCAAAACAAACAACUAUUUCAAAAUUAAAAAUCAAUCUUUUUGACACAUUUUUUCACUAAAUAUCUCAAAUUGUGUUAAGUGUUUUAAUCAAAAUCUGCUCUUCAUUGUUCAAAGACAGACUUUUAUUCAAACGCUGCCCAAAAGUCUAUAUUUUCUUACCAAAUAAUUUGACUUUUGAGCGUUGUAGUCAAAAAGUCUUGAAGUAGUAAAUAAACAAACAAACAAGUACCCUAUACUCUCAGGUAUUCUUUACUACCUCACUUUCAUCAACCAAAACUAUUCAAAUACUUCAACAAUUGCAAAAACAGAAAAUCUAGAAGUUCGAACUUCAAAAACUAAUACUAAAAAUAAUUAAUAAGAUACAAAAUAAAAUCUGGAAAAAAAUAGCAACACAAAAAAGAAUAGGAUUUUUACCAUUUUUCAAUUCAAGUGGUUAAUACAAUAGUGAUAUGCCGAGCGAGGGUGUUCGGGGAGGUCACAUGAAUUUGGUCGAAUUUUGGUCGCCGGAUUUUCAGGGUGGAAUUGGCAUCAAUAUUUAGGUCUCGAGUAGCUCUAUCCGUUGAUGUAGGUAUUGUGGGAUGGUAGUGGUGGGAGCUUCAAGAACUUGGGCAAAAAAAUGACGAUUAAGUUUCCUAGAUCUAAGAUUCAAUGAGUUUGAGGGGGUUUGAAGGAUUUGGUUUAGAGGUAUGAAAAGAGGAGGUUGUGGAGAUUAUAUGGUGUGAUUCUGGUGGGAUUUGGAGGAGGUCCCGCAGCCGGUUCUGGCGGCGGCGAAGGAGAGGCGGUGCGAGGAGGCUAGGUUAGAGAGAUGAGAGAGGGUGAGAAGAGAGAGGAAUUUAGGCUUGGUAAAUAGCCAAAAUUUUGAUUUUUGCAGCCUUAUAUACCUAUGAGGAC